rnacentral:rRNA from 2 species
AGGAAAAGAAACCAACAGGGAUUGCCCUAGUAACGGCGAGUGAAGCGGCAACAGCUCAAAUUUGAAAUCUGGCUCUCGGGCCCGAGUUGUAAUUUGUAGAGGAUACUUUUGAUGCGGUGCCUUCCGAGUUCCCUGGAACGGGACGCCAUAGAGGGUGAGAGCCCCGUCUGGUUGGAUGCCAAAUCUCUGUAAAGUUCCUUCAACGAGUCGAGUAGUUUGGGAAUGCUGCUCUAAAUGGGAGGUAUAUGUCUUCUAAAGCUAAAUACCGGCCAGAGACCGAUAGCGCACAAGUAGAGUGAUCGAAAGAUGAAAAGCACUUUGAAAAGAGAGUUAAAAAGUACGUGAAAUUGUUGAAAGGGAAGCGUUUAUGACCAGACUUGGGCUUGGUUAAUCAUCUGGGGUUCUCCCCAGUGCACUUUUCCAGUCCAGGCCAGCAUCAGUUUUCCCCGGGGGAUAAAGGCGGCGGGAAUGUGGCUCUCUUCGGGGAGUGUUAUAGCCCACCGUGUAAUACCCUGGGGGGGACUGAGGUUCGCGCAUCUGCAAGGAUGCUGGCGUAAUGGUCAUCAACGACCCGUCUU